CGGCUCUCAGGAUGGCCCCUGGAGAGUUUCGGGUACUCCACCAGUCUCUGCUAUGGGAGAGAGAGUCAAGCAGAGGCCUACUCAUUCCGUUCCUAGCUUGGCCAGUGGCUAGCGAGUGGAAGGCCAUCUGCUACAAGU